UUGGAGGGCAAGUCUGGUGCCAGCAGCCGCGGUAAUUCCAGCUCCAAUAGCGUAUAUUAAAGUUGUUGCAGUUAAAAAGCUCGUAGUUGAAUUUCGGGAUUGACGUGAUGGUCAUGCCUUAAGGGGUAUGAACUGUUACUGUUGAUUUCUCACCUUCUGGAGCAACUUGAUGUCCUUUAUUGGGUGUCUUGCGGAUCCAGGACCUUUACCUUGAAAAAAUUAGAGUGUUUAAAGCAGGCAUUAUUGCUCGAAUACAUUAGCAUGGAAUAAUAGAAUAGGACGGCAUGGUUCUAUUUUGUUGGUUUCUAGGAUCACCGUAAUGAUUAAUAGGGAAAGUUGGGGGCAUUAGUAUUCAAUUGUCAGAGGUGAAAUUCUUGGAUUUAUUGAAGACUAACUACUGCGAAAGCAUUUGCCAAGGAUGUUUUCAUUAAUCAAGAACGAAAGUUAGGGGAUCGAAGACGAUCAGAUACCGUCGUAGUCUUAACCAUAAACUAUGCCGACUAGGAAUCAGACGAUGUUAAUUUUUUAAUGACUCGUUUGGCACCUUACGGGAAACCAAAGUGUUUGGGUUC
rnacentral:rRNA from 1 species